rnacentral:rRNA from 1 species
UAGUCCACGCCGUAAACGAUGUCUACUAGCCGUUGGGGUACUUGAUACUUUAGUGGCGCAGCUAACGCGAUAAGUAGACCGCCUGGGGAGUACGGUCGCAAGAUUAAAACUCAAAUGAAUUGACGGGGGCCCGCACAAGCGGUGGAGCAUGUGGUUUAAUUCGAAGCAACGCGAAGAACCUUACCUACUCUUGACAUCCAGUGAACUUGGUAGAGAUACCUUGGUGCCUUCGGGAACACUGAGACAGGUGCUGCAUGGCUGUCGUCAGCUCGUGUUGUGAAAUGUUGGGUUAAGUCCCGUAACGAGCGCAACCCUUGUCCUUAGUUACCAUCAUUAAGUUGGGGACUCUAAGGAGACUGCCGGUGACAAACCGGAGGAAGGCGGGGACGACGUCAAGUCAUCAUGGCCCUUACGAGUAGGGCUACACACGUGCUACAAUGGCCGGUACAAAGGGUUGCCAAGCUGCAAAGUGGAGCUAAUCUCAUAAAGCCGGUCGUAGUCCGGAUUGGAGUCUGCAACUCGACU